GAUGAACGCUGGCGGCGUGCCUAAUACAUGCAAGUCGAGCGAACAGACGAGGAGCUUGCUCCUCUGACGUUAGCGGCGGACGGGUGAGUAACACGUGGAUAACCUACCUAUAAGACUGGGAUAACUUCGGGAAACCGGAGCUAAUACCGGAUAAUAUAUUGAACCGCAUGGUUCAAUAGUGAAAGACGGUUUUGCUGUCACUUAUAGAUGGAUCCGCGCCGCAUUAGCUAGUUGGUAAGGUAACGGCUUACCAAGGCAACGAUGCGUAGCCGACCUGAGAGGGUGAUCGGCCACACUGGAACUGAGACACGGUUCAGACUCCUACGGGAGGCAGCAGUAGGGAACCUUCCGCAAUGGGCGAAAGCUUGACGGAGCAACGCCGCGUGAGUGAUGAAGGUCUUCGGAUCGUAAAACUCUGUUAUUAGGGAAGAACAAAUGUGUAAGUAACUAUGCACGUCUUGACGGUACCUAAUCAGAAAGCCACGGCUAACUACGUG
rnacentral:rRNA from 1 species